rnacentral:lncRNA from 13 species
CUGCUUCCAUCACGCAAAGGGCAGCGUUUUGUUUUUACUGGAAAAAAACACUUAUUCUGGCUACUAAUCUACCUUCCCUGCAUGCAAUGCUUCUGCCAAAGUUACCAUCCAUGAACUUAUAUAAAAUUACAGAAUAUCUUAUCCAUGGUCAUGAUAUUUGAGACAGCACUGCUUCUGAUUAAGGAAAUCAUUUCAUAGCCAAAAAAAAAAAAAAAAAGUGUGGCAAUGGGUCCAUACUUAUAAGAUUCACUGGUCUUACCACUGAAUGGUCAACCAUCCUGAAGCACAGCUGGUUUGACAGAACAAUGGAAUGACUUUUUGAAGACUCAGUGACAGUGCCAGCUAGGUAACAAUACCUUGCAGGCCUGGCACAAGGGUCUCCAAAAGGCUCUGUAUGCUCUGAAUUAGUGUUCCACCUAUGGUUCUCUUUCUCCAGUAGCCAGAAUUCAUAAGCCCAGCAAUCAAGGGGUAGAACUGGAAGUGGCACCAUUUGCUAUUACUUCUAAUGACCCACUAGCAAAACGUUUGCUUCCUGUUCCUGCAAAUGUAUGCUGUGUUGGCCUAGAGGUCUUGGUCCCAAAGGAAGGAAUGCUUCUACCAGAAGACAAAACAGUGACUCCAUGGGACCAGAAGACUGCCUCCCAACCAUUUGGGUUCCCUAUGCCUCCGAAUCAGCAGGCAAAGAAAAGAGUUACUGCACCAGUAGGGAUGAUUUAUCCUGACUACAAAAGAGAAAUUGAACUAUUUAUCCACAAUGGAGGAUCUCGCUCUGUCCACUCAGGCUGGCGUGCAGGGGCAUGAUCACAGCUUACUGCAGCCUCAAUCUUCUGGAUUCAGAGCAAGGACCUGGGAAGCAAGCUGGAGCUCAGGCUACAGAUAUGCUAGCCUGAGGCUGUGGUCUUUGUAAGGCCAGAUCACCACUUCAGAAGAUCAGUGAAAGCCACAACAAUGGCACAUUAAAAUAAUAAUAAUAAUUUGAUUGAGUAAAUAUUUCACUCUUGAGGCAACCGUCUUAAAUGUACAGCUUAAGAACUAAAAAAUUUGGCAGGUGGAGAGGGGAUGGCUGGGUAGCUCACACCUAUAAUACCAGCACUUUGGAAGUCUGAGGCUGGUGGAUCACUUGAGUCCAAGAAGCUCAAGACCAGCCUGGGUGCCAGGAAGAAACCUCAUCUCUACCAAACUACAGCAAUUAUCUGGGCAUGGUGGUGUAUAUCUGUAGUCCUAGCUAUUGGAAGGCUGAGGCGGGAAGAUCACUUAGCCCAGGAGGCAGAGGCAAGAUUGCACCACUGCAUUCUAGCUUGGACAACAGAGGUAGAUCCCAUCUCAAAAAAAAAGAAGAAGAACUGAUAAAUUUAUGCUCUUACUC